rnacentral:rRNA from 1 species
AUGCAAGUCGAGCGGCAGCGCGGGGGCAACCCUGGCGGCGAGCGGCGAACGGGUGAGUAAUGCAUCGGAACGUGUCCCGUAGUGGGGGAUAACCCGGCGAAAGCCGGGCUAAUACCGCAUAUGCUCUACGGAGGAAAGGGGGGGAUCCGCAAGGACCUCUCGCUAUGGGAGCGGCCGAUGUCCGAUUAGCUUGUUGGUGGGGUAAUGGCUUACCAAGGCGACGAUCGGUAGCUGGUCUGAGAGGAUGAUCAGCCACACUGGGACUGAGACACGGCCCAGACUCCUACGGGAGGCAGCAGUGGGGAAUUUUGGACAAUGGGGGCAACCCUGAUCCAGCCAUGCCGCGUGCGGGAAGAAGGCCUUCGGGUUGUAAACCGCUUUUAGUCGGGAAGAAAAGGCGCGGCCUAAUACGCUGCGUUCUUGACCGUACCGGCGGAAUAAACCACCGGUUACCUACGUGCCAGAAGCCGGGGUAAUACGUAGGGUGCGAGCGUUAAUCGGAAUUACUGGGCGUAAAGCGUGCGCAGGCGGUUCGUUUAAGUCUGAUGUGAAACCCCGGGC